GGCUGAUGUGCGUGUGUGUGUCAGUGCAGGCACAGUGCAAGAAGGCCAGUAGGACAAUGUUCCAUGUCACACAGCCAGGUCAAUCAAGGUUUGGAUGGAGGACCACAAGAUCAAGACCCUGUCAUGGCCAGCCCAGUCUCCAGACCUUAACGCCAUUUAAAACCUCUGGAAUCUAAUUAAAAGGAAGAUUGAUGGUCACAAGACAUCAAACAAAGCUGAGCUGCUUGAAUUUUUACGCCAGGAGUGGCAUGAAUUCACUCAUCAGCAAUGUGAAAGACUGGUGGAGAACAUACCAAGACACAUGAAUAUUGAUUUCUGAACUCUUGCUAAGUUAAACAUUAGUAUUGUGUUGUUUAAAAACAAAAAUGAAAUUGUUUUCUUUUCAUUAUUCGAGGUCUGAAAACACUGCGUAUUAUUUGCUAUUUUGACCAGUUGUCAUUUUGUGCAAAUAAAUGCUCUAAAAGAAACAAUA